rnacentral:rRNA from 1 species
AGCGAACGCUGGCGGCGUGGAUAAGGCAUGCAAGUCGAGCGAUCCCCGCAAGGGGAUAGCGGCAAACGGGUGAGUAACGCGUGGGCAAUCUGCCCUAAAGCGUGGGAUAACCCAACGAAAGAUGGGCUAAUACCACAUGUGCUCGCGACACCGCAUGGUGUUGCGAGGAAAGAUGGCCUCGACCGAAAGGUUGCUAUCACUUUAGGAGGAGCCUGCGUCCCAUCAGCUAGUUUGUAGGGUAACGGCCUACCAAGGCAUUUGACGGGUAGCUAGCCUUAGAGGGUGGUUAGCCACACUGGGACUGAGACACUGCCCAGACUCCUACGGGAGGCUGCAGUCGAGAAUAUUUGGCAAUGGGCGAAAGCCUGACCAUGCGACGCCGCGUGCGGGAUGAAGGCCUUCGGGUCGUAAACCGCUGUUACGAGGGACGAAGAUCCCAUAUGUGAACAACGUAUGGGAAGUGACGGUACCUCGAGAGAAAGCCACGGCUAACUCCGU